AAAUUGAAGAGUUUGAUCAUGGCUCAGAUUGAACGCUGGCGGCAGGCCUAACACAUGCAAGUCGAACGGUAACAGGAAGCAGCUUGCUGCUUUGCUGACGAGUGGCGGACGGGUGAGUAAUGUCUGGGAAACUGCCUGAUGGAGGGGGAUAACUACUGGAAACGGUGGCUAAUACCGCAUAACGUCGCAAGACCAAAGAGGGGGACCUUCGGGCCUCUUGCCAUCAGAUGUGCCCAGAUGGGAUUAGCUUGUUGGUGAGGUAACGGCUCACCAAGGCGACGAUCCCUAGCUGGUCUGAGAGGAUGACCAGCCACACUGGAACUGAGACACGGUCCAGACUCCUACGGGAGGCAGCAGUGGGGAAUAUUGCACAAUGGGCGCAAGCCUGAUGCAGCCAUGCCGCGUGUAUGAAGAAGGCCUUCGGGUUGUAAAGUACUUUCAGCGGGGAGGAAGGUGUUGUGGUUAAUAACCGCAGCAAUUGACGUUACCCGCAGAAGAAGCACCGGCUAACUCCGUGCCAGCAGCCGCGGUAAUACGGAGGGUGCAAGCGUUAAUCGGAAUUACUGGGCGUAAAGCGCACGCAGGCGGUCUGUCAAGUCGGAUGUGAAAUCCCCGGGCUCAACCUGGGAACUGCAUUCGAAACUGGCAGGCUUGAGUCUUGUAGAGGGGGGUAGAAUUCCAGGUGUAGCGGUGAAAUGCGUAGAGAUCUGGAGGAAUACCGGUGGCGAAGGCGGCCCCCUGGACAAAGACUGACGCUCAGGUGCGAAAGCGUGGGGAGCAAACAGGAUUAGAUACCCUGGUAGUCCACGCCGUAAACGAUGUCUACUUGGAGGUUGUGCCCUUGAGGCGUGGCUUCCGGAGCUAACGCGUUAAGUAGACCGCCUGGGGAGUACGGCCGCAAGGUUAAAACUCAAAUGAAUUGACGGGGGCCCGCACAAGCGGUGGAGCAUGUGGUUUAAUUCGAUGCAACGCGAAGAACCUUACCUGGUCUUGACAUCCACGGAAGUUUUCAGAGAUGAGAAUGUGCCUUCGGGAACC
rnacentral:rRNA from 1 species